AGAGUUUGAUCCUGGCUCAGGACGAACGCUGGCGGCGUGCUUAACACAUGCAAGUCGAACGGAAAGGCCUCUUCGGAGGUACUCGAGUGGCGAACGGGUGAGUAACACGUGGGUAAUCUGCCCUGCACUUCGGGAUAAGCCUGGGAAACUGGGUCUAAUACCGAAUAUGACCACGAGACGCAUGUCUUGUGGUGGAAAGCUUUUGCGGUGUGGGAUGGGCCCGCGGCCUAUCAGCUUGUUGGUGGGGUGAUGGCCUACCAAGGCGACGACGGGUAGCCGGCCUGAGAGGGUGUCCGGCCACACUGGGACUGAGAUACGGCCCAGACUCCUACGGGAGGCAGCAGUGGGGAAUAUUGCACAAUGGGCGCAAGCCUGAUGCAGCGACGCCGCGUGGGGGAUGACGGCCUUCGGGUUGUAAACCUCUUCAGCAGG
rnacentral:rRNA from 1 species